rnacentral:rRNA from 1 species
GACGUAGGGGGCCAGCGUUGUUCGGAAUUACUGGGCGUAAAGGGUUCGUAGGCGGUGUAGCAAGUCGGGAGUGAAAUCUCUGGGCUUAACCCAGAGGCUGCUUCCGAAACUGCUGUGCUUGAGUGUGGGAGAGGCGCGUGGAAUUGCAGGUGUAGCGGUGAAAUGCGUAGAUAUCUGCAGGAACACCCGUGGCGAAAGCGGCGCGCUGGACCACUACUGACGCUGAGGCGCGAAAGCCAGGGGAGCGAACGGG